rnacentral:rRNA from 1 species
UGGGGAAUUUUGGACAAUGGGCGAAAGCCUGAUCCAGCAAUGCCGCGUGUGUGAAGAAGGCCUUCGGGUUGUAAAGCACUUUUGUCCGGAAAGAAAUCCUUGGCUCUAAUACAGUCGGGGGAUGACGGUACCGGAAGAAUAAGCACCGGCUAACUACGUGCCAGCAGCCGCGGUAAUACGUAGGGUGCAAGCGUUAAUCGGAAUUACUGGGCGUAAAGCGUGCGCAGGCGGUUUGCUAAGACCGAUGUGAAAUCCCCGGGCUCAACCUGGGAACUGCAUUGGUGACUGGCAGGCUAGAGUAUGGCAGAGGGGGGUAGAAUUCCACGUGUAGCAGUGAAAUGCGUAGAGAUGUGGAGGAAUACCGAUGGCGAAGGCAGCCCCCCUGGGCCAAUACUGACGCUCAUGCACGAAAGCGUGGGGAGCAAACAGGAUUAGAUACCCUGGUAGUCCACGCCCUAAACGAUGUCAACUAGUUGUUGGGGAUUCAUUCCUUAGUAACGUGGCUAACGCGUGAAGUUGACCGCCUGGGGAGUACGGUCGCAAGAUUAAAACUCAAAGGAAUUGACGGGGUCAUAGCUGUUUCC